GAUGAAGAACGUAGCGAAAUGCGAUAAGUAAUGUGAAUUGCAGAAUUCAGUGAAUCAUCGAAUCUUUGAACGCGCAUUGCGCCGCCUGGUAUUCCGGGGGGCAUGCCUGUUCGAGCGUCAUUACAACCCUCAAGCUCUGCUUGGUAUUGGGCCCCGCCAGUUCUGGCGGGCCCUAAAGUCAGUGGCGGUGCCUUCCGGCUCCGAGCGUAGUAAUUCUUCUCGCUCUGGAGACCCGGUUGUGUGCUUGCCAACAACCCCCAAUUUUUUAAGGUUGACCUCGGAUCAGGUAGGGAUACCCGCUGAACUUAAGCAUAUCAAUAAGCGGAGGA
rnacentral:misc_RNA from 1 species